ACAAGAAUCAGAUACGCGCUUGGUCUGUACUGGAAACGGAGCGAGAGAUCUUGUGUACAUCCCUUUCAUGGUUUAUCUAAAACGAAACCAGACUGAGGCAUCACACCAGUUUUGAGCGGGGAACUUUGGUUGCGUCUACAGCUAUACGUCCCAAUAGAUGAAGACAGAGUUGAGCAGCUGACCUAUUCAACCAUUGCCUCAAUACCUCCACUGAAUCUUAGAGAUUGCACUGAAGUCAACGAUGUUAACAACAAUGCUAAUCCUGCUGAAGAAACUUCAGGCAGCAGAACAGUUUGACAUUGUCCAAGCAAUAGCCAAUGAACUUACAGAAUAAAUGGCUUUGACUGAAACUCAUUAAGUUCAAUAUUUUUGUACCGUAGUUUUACUUAUAUUGUUUAUAUAAAUAAUACCUGUACUCAGAUGUGUAUCCCUCAUAUAAUUACAUUUAAUUCAUUGACAUUUAUUAAAGUGGGAAUUGAUCAACUUCGAGGGUUUCAACAAACUAUAUCAUUUUGUUGAGAUGUUAUUUCAUUGAUAUACUGUAGUGUAUUUUUCAAUAGAACAUUAUAGAAUGAAAGUACAUCUUUUCGAAAUUUUUUUUUAUUUGUUCUCAAACAUGGUACAUGCACUGGGGUAAAAUAAUUUUUCAGAAUGUUAAUGUAGAAUUUUGAAUGUUUUUUCUUUUUCUAUAAAA